rnacentral:miRNA from 1 species
GUUCCUUAAAAAGUUCCUAACUUCCUGUUUCAUUGACCAAUCAAAUAUUAUAUUUUAUUUUUGAGCAAUCUGAUCAUGAUUGGUCAAUGAAACAGGAAGUUAGGAACUUUUUAAGGAAU